AAUCCCAAAAUCCUAAGUGUCUCUAAGUGGCAGCAGGUGCUGGCAACGCUGGGACCCGACCGAGGCAGAGAGGACAAGCCGUUCCUCGCAAACGGAGGACCAGAAACGGCGCUGGCAAAGCCUCCCGAGGGCGUGGAGCAUCCCUCGGUGGCAGGCGGGGCAGAGGGAGACCAGCUCCGCAGAGCGCCCGGUGCGCGCGGGAUUCGCGAUCCCGUCUCCUCAACGCUUCGGACCGCGGGUCUCGCACAUCUGCCCCCCCCCCCCCGCGCCUCCCCGACAGUCUCGCUCUUCCCCCCUUCCCCUCGCAACCCGCCCCCCUCCAGCCCCGCGCGGGGUGGCCGCACGGCGAGCCCGGCCGCCGAGGACGCGGCUCCUCGCAGCAUCCCUGCGCACUCGGCAGGCGGCCCCACCGGGACGCCGGCCGCGGCAUCGCACAACCCACCGGAACUUCCCACAGGCGCCAAUUCUAAAUUCGCCGGACCGGCCGCCGCUGCCAGCGCCGCCUCCGCGCCCGGGGGCUCGCUCCCCUCCGUCCGUCGCAGCCCCCCUCCCUCCCUCAGGGGCCCCCGCGUCCAGCGCGGCGGGAAAACGCCGCCAGGUGCCUCCCGGCCCCGGGGGGCUCCCGUGGGACCUCCGCGCCCGCACAGCCCCCGCCCCCUUCGGCCAACGCCGAGGCAGCGCGCCCGUCGCCACACUCACCCGCCCGAGCCGGCGCGGCCAUCUUUGCGCUCACGCCGGGCCCCGCGCCCCCCGGUUCGGCGGCGGCGGCGGCGGCGGCGGCGGCGGCGGCGGCGGCGGCCCGGCCGAGCGGCUACGUCAGCAGUGACGCAGCCCCGCCCCGCCCCCCGCGCCUCGGGAGCGCCCGGGCUGCAGCCUCGCUCCACAGCCUCGCUCCACAGCCUCUCGCUCCACAGCCUCUCGCUCCACAGCCUCUCGCUCCACAGCCUCUCGCUCCACAGCCUCUCGCUCCACAGCCUCUCGCUCCACAGCCUCGCUCGGCGGCUGCCCCCGGGGGCGCUGGGAGCCGGGCUUCCCUCCCGAGGCCGGCUUGGCACCUGUCCUCAGGCCGCGGCCCGGGGCGGCGUCGCCAGCGUGCACCGCGAGUCCGGAGACGCGGCACAGCCCACGGAGUUUCUGCGACUCAGGCCGCGGCGGACUGUUUGGCAGAGACGCGCGCCAGUUCGGUUGUCUUCAAAAAAAAAAUAA
rnacentral:lncRNA from 1 species